CGCUUCUCCUUACGGGCAGUUUGUGCCAAGUCGAGCGGUAGAGAGAAGCUUGCUUCUCUUGAGAGCGGCGGACGGGUGAGUAAUGCCUAGGAAUCUGCCUGGUAGUGGGGGAUAACGUUCGGAAACGGACGCUAAUACCGCAUACGUCCUACGGGAGAAAGCAGGGGACCUUCGGGCCUUGCGCUAUCAGAUGAGCCUAGGUCGGAUUAGCUAGUUGGUGAGGUAAUGGCUCACCAAGGCGACGAUCCGUAACUGGUCUGAGAGGAUGAUCAGUCACACUGGAACUGAGACACGGUCCAGACUCCUACGGGAGGCAGCAGUGGGGAAUAUUGGACAAUGGGCGAAAGCCUGAUCCAGCCAUGCCGCGUGUGUGAAGAAGGUCUUCGGAUUGUAAAGCACUUUAAGUUGGGAGGAAGGGUUGUAGAUUAAUACUCUGCAAUUUUGACGUUACCGACAGAAUAAGCACCGGCUAACUCUGUGCCAGCAGCCGCGGUAAUACAGAGGGUGCAAGCGUUAAUCGGAAUUACUGGGCGUAAAGCGCGCGUAGGUGGUUUGUUAAGUUGGAUGUGAAAUCCCCGGGCUCAACCUGGGAACUGCAUUCAAAACUGACUGACUAGAGUAUGGUAGAGGGUGGUGGAAUUUCCUGUGUAGCGGUGAAAUGCGUAGAUAUAGGAAGGAACACCAGUGGCGAAGGGCGACCACCUGGACUAAUACUGACACUGAGGUGCGAAAAGCGUGGGGGAGCAAACAGGAUUAGAUACCCUGGUAGUCCACGCCGUAAACGAUGUCAACUAGCCGUUGGAAGCCUUGAGCUUUUAGUGGCGCAGCUAACGCAUUAAGUUGACCGCCUGGGGAGUACGGCCGCAAGGUUAAAACUCAAAUGAAUUGACGGGGGCCCGCACAAGCGGUGGAGCAUGUGGUUUAAUUCGAAGCAACGCGAAGAACCUUACCAGGCCUUGACAUCCAAUGAACUUUCUAGAGAUAGAUUGGUGCCUUCGGGAACAUUGAGACAGGUGCUGCAUGGCUGUCGUCAGCUCGUGUCGUGAGAUGUUGGGUUAAGUCCCGUAACGAGCGCAACCCUUGUCCUUAGUUACCAGCACGUAAUGGUGGGCACUCUAAGGAGACUGCCGGUGACAAACCGGAGGAAGGUGGGGAUGACGUCAAGUCAUCAUGGCCCUUACGGCCUGGGCUACACACGUGCUACAAUGGUCGGUACAGAGGGUUGCCAAGCCGCGAGGUGGAGCUAAUCCCAUAAAACCGAUCGUAGUCCGGAUCGCAGUCUGCAACUCGACUGCGUGAAGUCGGAAUCGCUAGUAAUCGCGAAUCAGAAUGUCGCGGUGAAUACGUUCCCGGGCCUUGUACACACCGCCCGUCACACCAUGGGAGUGGGUUGCACCAGAAGUAGCUAGUCUAACCUUCGGGAGGACGGUUACCACGGGUUGUUUA
rnacentral:rRNA from 1 species